AUGCAAGAAAUAGUUGUAGUUAUAUUCAGAGAAGCCUUGAAGGAUGCUGAGAUGGAAAAUCUAGAAAAAGGAAAACAACUAGAAGUUGAGGUUGCAAACAAAGAAAAGUUGAACCAAAAAAUACUCUUUCUGGCAGAAGCAAAGAAGCGAUUGGAACAAGAGGCAGCAGCUGCCUUGGAAAAGGAAAAGGAGCGAUGUGAACUAGCUGCUCAAGAGCUUGAAAAUUUAAGGGGUGAAUCAAAUGCUGCACAUCGUAAUUUGGUUGAAAGACAUAAGGCAGAUAUUUGCAAGUUAGAUCAGAUGCUUCUUGAUGUCAACCAAGAGAAGCAGAAUGCUGUGUCUUUGUUUGAAGCAAAAGAAAGGGAGUUCAAGCAGCAAUUGAAAUCAUUAGUUGUCUAUAGCCGUGGAUUAUUGAGAGCGAUUACUGAUUUUGAAUGUAGAGUAACACAAGAUAUUUCAGGAAAAUCUUCAAGGUACUUGCUCAGUUAUUGUAACCUAUAAGUGCUCUACCUGUAAAUGCCUUUCGUGCUCUAAUUCUGUGCUUUAACUUUAAAUGCCUUUUGUAUUUCUGUGAUUUUGUUUCCAGGUUGAAGAUUUUGAGUUCUCAAUCGCGUUCGCUUAAACAAAAAGCUAAAGUACUUGUAAAAAGAAAGAUUCUAUACAAGCAGGGAUUUGAAAGGAAAUGUUCUGACCUUGAAAAAGCUGAAGCCGAGGUAUGUAAAUCAGAUAGGUAUUAUGCAUAUUUCAACUUGAUGUUUCGGCCUCGGAUUGUCUUUCAUGCUAUGAAACUUAUGGAAUUGAAUAGUUGCUUGCAUAUACUUAUGGGAGAAGAUGGUUUGAGACAUAUUGUUGGAUGAUAGAAUGGUAUUGUAAAUAUGAUUGGAAGUUAUCUUCCAUUACUAAUCUUGAUUUCCUUUCCGUUUCACAGUACUAAGCUUUACUUUAGUUUUCUUUUCUACUUGAAAACGUCUUGGAGUUAUAUGUGUUUGAAGGUUCAAUUAGAUAUAUUUUUAGUAUAUAAUUAUAUCAAAUUUGAUUACAAAGAUAGCCUUCAAAGUUUUUAUUCCCCAAGUCAUAAGAACAUACUUUGUAAGUUUUUUACAGAUACUGUAAUAAGCGUGUAAUUUUGUGGUAUAUUUAAUGGAUCAUUUCUCACUGGAUUUCAGGUUGAUCUUUUGGGGCAGGAGGUGGACAGUCUAUCGAGCUUGGUUGAAAAAAUAUACAUGGCCCUUGAUCAUUAUUCACCAAUAUUGCAACAUUAUUUUGGAGUAAGUUGUUUUCUUCUUUUGAUUGGUGAUUUGUCAAGCUUUCUCUAUCUUACUUUUAUAUUUUCCGGUACCUGUGUGCAAGGAUGAAAUUGUUGAUUCGGUGGAAAUAUCGGUUGUUCGUAUUUUAGAAAAUCUGUGAAAACAUGAAGUAAAAUUUUACAGAAACAAUGAAAAUUUACUUGAAACAUGAAAAAUGUGGGGAAAAAAAGCUUUUCGAAAUGGGAUAUAGGUAGGAUGUUGGGAUUCUUAACUAGUUAUUUGUGGAUUUAGUACAAAGUUAUAUAUUUUUGGGAUUUAGUCGGAAGGCAUUCUUAUAUCUAUUAAUGGGUACUUGGUUGUUGGUUCUCACUAUUGUGCACUAUUAUGCGGAAACACACAAGAUCUUGUUAUCAAUGGACUACGAGAAAAAACAAACCACACCAACGAUGAAGGAAAUUGAGCGUGCUCACACACAAAAGUAAACAAACCAACCAGGAACACAAGAAAUUUAUAGAUGUUCGGUAACGUGUCCACAUCCUCUCCAAUGAUCCCCUUGAGAAAUUUCACUAGAAGAAUAAGAACAACUUUGGUUUACAAGAAAAGCCUAUUAGCUCUCUAUUCUCUCAAACCCUAGCUCUCUAUUUACCUCUCACCCUUUUGGCUCAAACCCAAUUUGAUGCCCCCUUGUUUUCUAGAUUAUACCUUUAACCUAGCCCCAAAAGUCCUAUUUAUAGCUUAUUUGACUUAGGUUACAAGUCUACUUAAGAAUAGGAAACAUAAGCCCUAUUAGAUUAGGCUAGAAAUCCCACACAAAAAAAGGUUGGAACACGUCAACCACGUCCAAAACAAGUCAGGACAUACAACCUAUGUAUGGUAAGCCAAAAACACAACACGCACAACCUAGUGUCGUGAAUGCUUGAUGUACAGAUAAAAUCAUCCAUGUAUUGAUUCAACUUUUGUUGUGCUUCGCAGAUACCUGAGAUCUUGAAGCUCAUGAGAGGAAAAUUACGUGGAC
rnacentral:lncRNA from 1 species